rnacentral:rRNA from 1 species
GACGAACGCUGGCGGCGUGCUUAACACAUGCAAGUCGAACGGUGAAGGGACCGGUUUUUGCUGGUUCUGGAUGAGUGGCGAACGGGUGAGUAACACGUGAGUAACCUGCCCCCUUCUUCUGGAUAACCGCAUGAAAGUGUGGCUAAUACGGGAUAUUCUGCGCCUGCUGCAUGGUGGGUGUGGGAAAGAUAUUGUUUCGGUGGGGGAUGGGCUCGCGGCCUAUCAGCUUGUUGGUGGGGUGAUGGCCUACCAAGGCGGUGACGGGUAGCCGGCCUGAGAGGGUGGACGGUCACACUGGGACUGAGACACGGCCCAGACUCCUACGGGAGGCAGCAGUGGGGAAUAUUGCACAAUGGGCGGAAGCCUGAUGCAGCGACGCCGCGGGAGGGAUGGAGGCCUGCGGGUUGUAAACCUCUUUCGCCAGUGAAGCAGGCCUGUCCCUUUUGUGGGUGGGUUGACGGUAGCUGGAGAAGAAGCGCCGGCUAACUACGUG